rnacentral:rRNA from 1 species
AGUAACGCGUGAGUAACCUGCCUCUCAGAGGGGGAUAACGUUCUGAAAAGGACGCUAAUACCGCAUGACAUCCCGGGGCCGCAUGGUCCUGGGAUCAAAGGAGCAAUCCGCUGAGAGAUGGACUCGCGUCCGAUGAGCUAGUUGGUGAGAUAAAGGCCCACCAAGGCGACGAUCGGUAGCCGGACUGAGAGGUUGAACGGCCACAUUGGGACUGAGACACGGCCCAGACUCCUACGGGAGGCAGCAUG